rnacentral:rRNA from 1 species
AGCGUAGGCGGUUAUUUAAGUUUAAUGUGAAAUCCUGUAGCUUAACUACAGAACUGCAUUGGAUACUGGGUAACUGGAGUAUGGAAGAGGUAAGCGGAAUUACUAGUGUAGCGGUAAAAUGCGUAGAGAUUAGUAGGAACACCAGCGGCGAAGGCGGCUUACUGGGACAUAACUGACGCUGAGGCUCGAAAGCGUGGGGAGCAAACAG